AAGUCGUAACAAGGUUUCCGUAGGUGAACCUGCGGAAGGAUCAUUAAAGCGUCGAGCCUGCGCCUCCCGGCGUAGGUGAAACCCCACCCGUGACUACUACACCACAUGUUGCUUUGGCGGGCCCGCCUCUGGCUGCCGGGGUUUCUCUGGAUAGCGCCCGCCAAAGAUACACUGAACUUCUGUGAAACUGGAUGUCUGAGUUGAUAUCAAUCAUUAAAACUUUCAACAAUGGAUCUCUUGGUUCCGGCAUCGAUGAAGAACGCAGCGAAAUGCGAUAAGUAAUGUGAAUUGCAGAAUUCCGUGAAUCAUCGAAUCUUUGAACGCACAUUGCGCCCUCUGGUAUUCCGGAGGGCAUGCCUGUCCGAGCGUCAUUGCAACCUUCAAGCGCGGCUUGUGUGCUGGGCCUCGUCCCCCGUGGACGGGCCUCAAAGGCAGUGGCGGCGUCCGUUUUGGUGCCCGAGCGUAUGGGAAUUCUAUACCGCUUCAAGGCCCGGCGGCGCUGGUCAAGACCAAUUUUUAUCGGUUGACCUCGGAUCAGGUAGGGAUACCCGCUGAACUUAAGCAUAUCAAUAAGCGGAGGAAAAGAAACCAACAGGGAUUGCCCCAGUAACGGCGAGUGAAGCGGCAAAAGCUCAAAUUUGAAAUCUGGCUCCUUUCGGGGUCCGAGUUGUAAUUUGAAGAGGAUGCUUUGGGUGCGUCCGCGGCGUAAGUCCCUUGGAACAGGGCGUCAUAGAGGGUGAGAAUCCCGUCUUGAGUCGCCGGCGCGCGCCCGUUUAAAGCUCCUUCGACGAGUCGAGUUGUUUGGGAAUGCAGCUCUAAGUGGGUGGUAAAUUUCAUCUAAAGCUAAAUAUUGGCCGGAGACCGAUAGCGAACAAGUAGAGUGAUCGAAAGGUUAAAAGCACCUUGAAAAGGGAGUUAAAUAGCACGUGAAAUUGUUGAAAGGGAAGCGCUUGCAGCCAGACUCGGGUUCGGAGGCUCAGCGGGUAUUGUUAUGCCCGUGCACUCCUCCGCACCCGGGCCAGCAUCAGUUUUGGCGGCCGGUCAAAGGCCCCCGGAAUGUGUCGUCCUCCGGGACGUCUUAUAGCCGGGGGUGCAAUGCGGCCAGCCGGGACUGAGGAACGCGCUUCGGCACGGAUGCUGGCGUAAUGGCUGUAAGCGGCC
rnacentral:rRNA from 1 species